UACAGAGGGUGCAAGCGUUGUUCGGAAUUACUGGGCGUAAAGGGCUCGUAGGCGGCCAACUAAGUCGGACGUGAAAUCCCUCGGCUUAACCGGGGAACUGCGUCCGAUACUGGAUGGCUGGAGGUUGGGAGAGGGAUGCGGAAUUCCAGGUGUAGCGGUGAAAUGCGUAGAUAUCUGGAGGAACACCGGUGGCGAAGGCGGCAUCCUGGACCAAUUCUGACGCUGAGGAGCGAAAGCCAGGGGAGCAAACGGG
rnacentral:rRNA from 1 species